AGCAGCCGCGGUAAUUCCAGCUCCAAUAGCGUAUAUUAAAGUUGUUGCCGUUAAAAAGCUCGUAGUUGAACCUUGGGCCUGGCUGACCUGUCCUCCUAAUCGAGCGCACGGGUUCGGUCGGGCCUUUCCUUCUGGGGAUCCCGAUGCCCUUCACUGGGCGCCGUGGGGAACCAGGACUUUUACCUUGAAAAAAUUAGAGUGUUCAAAGCAGGCCUUUGCUCGAAUACAUUAGCAUGGAAUAAUAGAAUAGGACAGAGGUUCUAUUUUGUUGGUUUCUAGGACCGCUGUAAUGAUUAAUAGGGAUAGUCGGGGGCGUCCGUAUUCAAUUGUCAGAGGUGAAAUUCUUGGAUUUAUUGAAGACGAACUACUGCGAAAGCAUUCGCCAAGGAUGUUUUCAUUAAUCAGUGAACGAAAGUUAGGGGAUCGAAGACGAUCAGAUACCGUCGUAGUCUUAACCAUAAACUAUGCCGACUAGGGAUCGGACGGUGGUUUUUUUAUGCCCCG
rnacentral:rRNA from 1 species